CGGGAUGCUUAUACGGCGAGUGAAGCGGCAAGAGCUCAAAUUUGAAAUCUAGUACCUUUGGUGCUCGAGUUGUAAUUUGUAGAGUAGUGCCUUGGGGCCGUUCCUUGCCUAUGUUCCUUGGAACAGGACGUCAUGGAGGGUGAGAACCCCGUGUGGCGAGGGGUGCGGUUCUGUGUAAGGCCUGCUCGAAGAGUCGAGUUGUUUGGGAAUGCAGCUCUAAGUGGGUGGUAAAUUCCAUCUAAAGCUAAAUACAGGCGAGAGACCGAUAGCGAACAAGUACAGUGAUGGAAAGAUGAAAAGAACUUUGAAAAGAGAGUGAAAAAGUACGUGAAAUUGUUGAAAGGGAAGGGCAUUUGAUCAGACAUGGUGUUUUGCGCCCCCUGCUCCUUGUGGGUGGGGGAAUCUCGCAGCUCACUGGGCCACAUCAGUUUUGGCGGCUGGAUAAAUCCGGAGGAAUGUGGCUUCUCUCGGGAAGUGUUAUAGCCUGCGGGAAUACGGCCAGCCGGGACUGAGGAACGCGACGCAAGUCAAGGAUGCUGGCAUAAUGGUUAUAUGCCGCCCGUCUUGAAACACGGAAC
rnacentral:rRNA from 1 species